rnacentral:rRNA from 1 species
AUUGAACGCUGGCGGCAGGCCUAACACAUGCCAGUCGAGCGGAUGAAGGGAGCUUGCUCCUGGAUUCAGCGGCGGACGGGUGAGUAAUGCCUAGGAAUCUGCCUGGUAGUGGGGGAUAACGUCCGGAAACGGGCGCUAAUACCGCCUACGUCCUGAGGGAGAAAGUGGGGGAUCUUCGGACCUCACGCUAUCAGGUGAGCCUAGGUCGGAUUAGCCAGUUGGUGGGGUAAAGGCCUACCAAGGCGACGAUCCGUAACUGGUCUGAGAGGGUGAUCAGUCACACUGGAACUGGGACACGGUCCAGACUCCUACGAGAGGCAGCAGUGGGGAAUAUUGGACAAUGGGCGAAAGCCUGAUCCAGCCAUGCCGCGUGUGUGAAGAAGGUCUUCGGAGUGUAAAGCACUUUAAGUUGGGAGGAAGGGCAGUAAGUUAAUACCUUGCUGUUUUGACGUUACCAACAGAAUAAGCACCGGCUAACUUCGUG